CCUANGGGGGGCUGCAGUCGAGAAUCUUUAGCAAUGCCCGAAAGGGUGACUAUGCGACGCCGCGUGAGCGAUGAAGGUCUUCGGAUUGUAAAGCUCUGUCGAGUGGGAUGAAUACUUUAACCAUAACAUGGUUGAAGAAUGACAGUACCACUAAAGGAAGCCACGGCUAACUCCGUGCCAGCAGCCGCGGUAAUACGGAGGUGGCAAGCGUUAUUCGGAUUUACUGGGCGUACAGGGAGCGUAGGCGGUUUGGUAAGCCCUCUGUGAAAUCUCCAGGCUUAACCUGGAAAAGUCGGAGGGGACUGCUGGGCUAGAGGACGGGAGAGGAGCGCGGAAUUCCCGGUGUAGCGGUGAAAUGCGUAGAGAUCGGGAGGAAGGCCGGUGGCGAAGGCGGCGCUCUGGAACGUUUCUGACGCUGAGGCUCGAAAGCGUGGGGAGCAAACAGGAUUAGAUACCCGUNUANUC
rnacentral:rRNA from 1 species